rnacentral:lncRNA from 14 species
UUUCACAUCUGCAGAGUUCACAUCUUGGUGGCAUUUCUUCUCCAUUUGAAGCCUUCAGAGUGCUUUCUCAAAUCACCAGCACAAGUUCAACACAAACACCCUUGCCAGGAUCAAGGCAGUUCCAGUUCCAGAAAGAUCAUAAAAUACGUGACUGUGGUGGGCGGCUAAAGUUCUCCAAG